rnacentral:tRNA from 3 species
GCGGGUAUGGCGGAACUGGCAGACGCACUAGACUUAGGAUCUAGCGCUUCACGGCGUGGGGGUUCGACUCCCUUUACCCGCACCA